UGGGGAAUUUUGGACAAUGGGCGCAAGCCUGAUCCAGCAAUGCCGCGUGCAGGAUGAAGGCCUUCGGGUUGUAAACUGCUUUUGUACGGAACGAAAAGGCUCUGGUUAAUACCUGGAGCAUAUGACGGUACCGUAAGAAUAAGCACCGGCUAACUACGUGCCAGCAGCCGCGGUAAUACGUAGGGUGCGAGCGUUAAUCGGAAUUACUGGGCGUAAAGCGUGCGCAGGCGGUUUUGUAAGACAGAGGUGAAAUCCCCGGGCUCAACCUGGGAACUGCCUUUGUGACUGCAAGGCUGGAGUGCGGCAGAGGGGGAUGGAAUUCCGCGUGUAGCAGUGAAAUGCGUAGAUAUGCGGAGGAACACCGAUGGCGAAGGCAAUCCCCUGGGCCUGCACUGACGCUCAUGCACGAAAGCGUGGGGAGCAAACAGGAUUAGAUA
rnacentral:rRNA from 1 species